rnacentral:rRNA from 1 species
UACGUAGGCAGCAAGCGUUGUUCGGAGUUACUGGGCGUAAAGGGUGUGUAGGCGGUUCUUUUAAGUUUGGUGUGAAAUCUCCCGGCUCAACUGGGAGGGUGCGCCGAAUACUGAGGGACUAGAGUACGGGAGAGGAAAGUGGAAUUCCUGGUGUAGCGGUGAAAUGCGUAGAUAUCGUAAGGAAGACCAGUGGCGAAGGCGGGUCUCUGGACAGUUCCUGACGCUGAGGCAGCGAAGGUCAGGGGGAGCAAACGGG